AGCUACAGUGUACUUACAUAUAAUAAUAAAUAAAUCUUUAAAAUAAAAAAAAAAGAAAAGAAAAAGUAAUAGAACAAGGUGGAGCCAGGGGGCAUGUUCCAGCCCCAGCAAGCAGCACAACUUGGCAGCUUUGGACUCAUAGCUCUAGCUUUAGAGUCCAGAAUAGAAGGGACUACUGGGACAUUUUUGAUGCUGGUUAGCUAGACCUAAGAAAUUAGUGGAGAUCAAGAAGAGACUAGUAUCACAGGUGUAAAAUCUUCUGGAAAGUGUUCUCUGGUAAUACAAAGGAUGUACAGAGAUGUUCCAGAGAUAGCCAAGGUUGUACGCCUUGCAGGAGCUGUACAUGAUAAUGAAGAGCAACUGAGGCUUGGCACUGUGAGAGGCCAGGGUGGGCCAUUGGUGAAUGUACAGCCUCAGUCUUAGUUGACAAUCCAGGACUGAAGGGGUCAUGCAAAGGAGUUGAGGUUUGGCGCUACUACCGUCACCUAGGAAGUUUCUUUUUGAGUCUAACUUACCCUUUAUUGUAACUUACCUUUUCAUGAAACUCCUGUGACUAAGAAUAUGCAAGUGAAGACAUAUUUUCUUGGGACAGAUUGCCAGUAUAAUGAGCUGUCCCACUAGCUAUACAUUGCCUUUAAAUUUCUUUAAAACUUACCUCAUUGUUAUGUUUUCUUCUGUUCUUUUUCUUUUCUUUUAUUCUGCAAAAGUGAAAUAGUUACUGUUCAUAAUGGGGCUUAUCAUGCUUGAUUAGCUUAAUACCAUGAUUCUAUCAUAUGUUCAAGAUGAGGUAUGGCCUCUGUUGCUUUCUAGACCCUAAACAGAAACAAAAACAAUAAUUCACAUUUGAAUAUAUAUGUCUAUGUGUGUAAUAUCUUCUUAGUCCUCAUGUAAAACUGUUUCUUAAUAUAAGUUCAAGCACUUUUUCUUUAUUUGUUUUGUUUUGUUUUGAUUGGUAAAACAGGAUCUUAUCCCAGAUUGGCUUAGAAUUUAUUCAUGUCACCUCAGGGUGAUGUCAAAUUUAGGCUUCUGCCUCUGCCUCUUCAAAUUCUAUGAUUCUAGUUAUAUGCUAGAAAGCCUAGCCAAAGACUAAGCAUUUAAAGGACUUUUAGUAGAGUCUUGGUAUCUUUGUGUGUGUUUGAGGUUCACAAGGAUUUCCUAGGAGGUGUAUUUUGCCUUCCAGGAUGGCUGAUUUCUUAAACUUUUUUCAUUGUUUUAGUUUUGCUGUGAUUUGUUUAUGUUAAUAUUCGUGUUUCAUUUUUUUUAAAAAAAAAGUCUAAUAUGAAGAAAUAGAAAGAUAGAAAGGAUAGCAAGAGUCUUAAAUAUCUUACGUUUUAAGAAAGUAUUAUAGGUGUUAACUGUCCAUAGUCCUAAAGGAAUGACCUUUUAUCCAAGAAAUUGUAUUCCUAUCCCUAAGGAAGUAACUGGUGAUUGAAUGACCUCAAUUUUUCUAAUGCUUUGCUUUUCUCUUUUCUUUCUUUUCUAUUCUUUUUUUUAUCUACAUUUUUGUUUAGAGUUUUGGAGGCUGGAAAAGCAAAUGUCAUUUUACCAAAAAAUUCUCCAAGUGGGAUAACACAUGUGAUUGCCAGUAAUGCAAGAAUCAGUGCUGAAAGAGAGCAAGAAAACUUUAAGGCUCCAUUUUAUCCAAUUCAGUAUUUAGGAGAUUUUCUAUUAGAGGUAAGUAAAAUAAGUAUUAUAGAUUUUUGAGUUUCUUUUUAUGAAGUACCAAAUG
rnacentral:lncRNA from 1 species